rnacentral:tRNA from 1 species
ACCGGGUGAGUGAGCUGAUGAACACGCCUGCUCGACAAGCAGGAUUUGGUGGGUUUGAUUCCCACACCCGGUA